rnacentral:rRNA from 1 species
GACGAACGCUGGCGGCGUGCUUAACACAUGCAAGUCGAACGGAAAGGCCCUGCUUUUGUGGGGUGCCCGAGUGGCGAACGGGUGAGUAACACGUGAGUAACCUGCCCUUGACUUUGGGAUAACUUCAGGAAACUGGGGCUAAUACCGUACAGCAGCUCCUGCUGCAUUGUGGGGGUUGGAACUUUUCGGCGGUUGGGGUUGGACUCGCGGCUUAACAGCUUGUUGGUUGGAGAGUGGCUUACCAAGGCUUUGACUGAUACGCGGCCUGAGAAGGUGAACGGGGACAUUGGGACUGAGAGAGGGCGCAGUCGCGUACGGGGGGCAACGGUGGGGAGUAUUGCACAAUGAGACGGAGUCGGAGACGGCAGCGCCGCGGGUGGGAUGACGGUCUUCGGGUUGUGAACAGCUUUAGCUUGUGACGAAGCGUGAGUGACGGUAAUGAGUAAAGAAGCACCGGCUAACUACGUG